rnacentral:snRNA from 1 species
AGUUUUCCUGAAGAAAUAUCAU